CCCUUAGAUGUUCUGGGCUGCACGCGUGCUACAAUGGCGUUUCCAGCAAGUCUGCGAACCCGAGAGGGCCAGCGGAUCUUCGAAUUGGCGUCGUGAUCGGGACAGUCGAUUGCAAUUAUUUGACUCAAACGAGGAAUUCCUUGUAAUCGCGAUUCAUCAUAUCGCGCUGAAUACGUCCCUGCCCUUUGUACACACCGCCCGUCGCUCCUACCGAUUGAGCGAUCCGGUAAAUGUUUUGGAUUGGUGCCGGGGCGGUUAGCUGCCGGUCGCUACGAAAUUUUGUGAACCUUAUCGCUUAGAGGAAGGAAAAGUCGUAACA
rnacentral:rRNA from 1 species